rnacentral:rRNA from 1 species
UACGUAGGGCGCAAGCGUUGUCCGGAAUUAUUGGGCGUAAAGAGCUCGUAGGCGGUCUGUCACGUCUGCUGUGAAAACCCGGGGCUUAACCCCGGGCUUGCAGUGGAUACGGGCAGACUAGAGGCAGGUAGGGGAGAAUGGAAUUCCCGGUGUAGCGGUGAAAUGCGCAGAUAUCAGGAGGAACACCGGUGGCGAAGGCGGGUCUCUGGGCCGAUACUGACGCUGAGGAGCGAAAGCGUGGGGAGCGAACAGG